rnacentral:rRNA from 1 species
UACGGAGGGUGCGAGCGUUGUCCGGAAUCACUGGGCGUAAAGGGCGCGUAGGCGGCGCGGGUAGUCGUCGGUGAAAGCUCAGGGCUCAACCCUGAGUCGGCCGGUGAUACUCCCGUGCUCGAGCACUGUAGAGGCAGGUGGAAUUCCGGGUGUAGCGGUGAAAUGCGUAGAUAUCGGGAGGAACACCUGUGGCGAAGGCGGCCCCCUGGGCCGGCCCUGACACUGAGACGCGAAGGCGUGGGGAGCGAACGGG